UAAGAUCUCUCUAGCAUAUCUCCGCGUCGACGAUGUUCGAUCCUGCAUCGAUGGAGGGGACGUGAGAGUUUGUGUUUCUAGAUCUAUUGGUUGACUUUGGAUCUUGGUGGAUUGGGUUCUUAUUGAGGAGAACAAUUGAAUGGCUUUUGGCAUGGUGACUUUGACAUCUUGUUCCAUGUUGUACUAUAGCACGGUCCGGUUUGUCCAACUCUCUAGACCAGUGGUUAUAGAUUACAAGCUUUUAGUGCAUGGGGUAAUGCUCGAUUGAUGUUUCUUUAGCAAUUUUUAGAUCUCAUUUCAAACGAUGAGUGACUAUUGUGGUUUUAAAAUCCUAGUACAUCGAAGACGUUUGCAGGUAUUCCUCUCCCUUACAGUUGGUUUAGUUUUCAAUCUUCGUUGAAAAUAACAUACAAUUAAAGGAAGAAGAAAUGUAGUAUAACUUUUAAUGCAAUUUUAUCG
rnacentral:lncRNA from 1 species